rnacentral:lncRNA from 1 species
AAAUUCCAUGUAACUAAAAAAAAAAGUUUUUUUGUAUACACGUCCCUACAAACAUAGUAAAUUACAGAUGUAUUCCUGCGAAACGAAAAUUCCAUAAGUUAUUCCUACAAAAGUCGUAAAUUAUGCAGAUAUGUCCUUGCCGUCAAGGUCUGCUAGAAAAAUUUCGUUAACCACAGUUAAAAUGCUUAACCAUAGUUAAUUAAUAAGUAAAAUGACACUUUUACCACCUUCUUCUUCCUUACCCUUUUCCUCUUCC